GCCAACAUAGUGUAGUGGUUUGCAUAUUUGACUACAAAUCUGGAGACCAGGGUUCAAAUUUCUGCUCAGCCA